GGUUAAGCGACUAAGCGUACACGGUGGAUGCCCUGGCAGUCAGAGGCGAUGAAGGACGUGCUAAUCUGCGAUAAGCGUCGGUAAGGUGAUAUGAACCGUUAUAACCGGCGAUUUCCGAAUGGGGAAACCCAGUGUGUUUCGACACACUAUCAUUAACUGAAUCCAUAGGUUAAUGAGGCGAACCGGGGGAACUGAAACAUCUAAGUACCCCGAGGAAAAGAAAUCAACCGAGAUUCCCCCAGUAGCGGCGAGCGAACGGGGAGCAGCCCAGAGCCUGAAUCAGUGUGUGUGUUAGUGGAAGCGUCUGGAAAGGCGCGCGAUACAGGGUGACAGCCCCGUACACAAAAAUGCACAUGCUGUGAGCUCGAUGAGUAGGGCGGGACACGUGGUAUCCUGUCUGAAUAUGGGGGGACCAUCCUCCAAGGCUAAAUACUCCUGACUGACCGAUAGUGAACCAGUACCGUGAGGGAAAGGCGAAAAGAACCCCGGCGAGGGGAGUGAAAAAGAACCUGAAACCGUGUACGUACAAGCAGUGGGAGCACGCUUAGGCGUGUGACUGCGUACCUUUUGUAUAAUGGGUCAGCGACUUAUAUUCUGUAGCAAGGUUAACCGAAUAGGGGAGCCGAAGGGAAACCGAGUCUUAACUGGGCGUUAAGUUGCAGGGUAUAGACCCGAAACCCGGUGAUCUAGCCAUGGGCAGGUUGAAGGUUGGGUAACACUAACUGGAGGACCGAACCGACUAAUGUUGAAAAAUUAGCGGAUGACUUGUGGCUGGGGGUGAAAGGCCAAUCAAACCGGGAGAUAGCUGGUUCUCCCCGAAAGCUAUUUAGGUAGCGCCUCGUGAAUUCAUCUCCGGGGGUAGAGCACUGUUUCGGCAAGGGGGUCAUCCCGACUUACCAACCCGAUGCAAACUGCGAAUACCGGAGAAUGUUAUCACGGGAGACACAC
rnacentral:rRNA from 1 species